AGCUGCGCCGCGGCUGCUCGCGGCCAGAGCCCGAGGCGGGGUCGGUUUCUUGGCAACGGGGCCCCUCUCGGGUCGCGCCCACCCCCUUCUUGGUCGGUCUCCCCUCCCCCAUUGAAGCUACGCGGAGUCAGAGCCCCGGGACCCGAGGCGGAGCCCAGGGCGUUUUCAAACUUGGGAACCUGCCUUGAAGCCUGACUAAAUUGUCUGGGUUGGAGCUCAGGACGACUGGCCCAUGUCUUGCUCUGUGAAAUUACACAUGUCAUUUCUCACUUGUCCGUUCAAGAAACACUAUGGAGGACCUUCUGUCUGCUUGAGAUUUUGAAAUUAUGGAGCUGACACUUCAGAUUAGAAAAUAACAAAGAAGGAAGCCACCAAAUGGAAGCAUGGAAGGCUUUGCAGAAGAAUUGAUGUUUGAUAUGGGUUCUGACAGAUGAAAAGGAGCUCCCUGGGUGGUGUCAGUUCAUCUUCUAUAAGAUAAGGUGGUUAGACUAGGUCUACGUGGAGGACCCAUUUAAUUCUAAUAGAUUCUGUGGUUAUAACCUGCCCGUAAUCAACUUUUUCUUCUCUGUGUGUCCCUCCAGGGAGUUGAGAGACCACCAUGGACUUCCUGUCAUCAUUCUUUAUUUUGUUAGCUGAAGCAAUCCAAAUUGAGCUGUUGGUCUUGAGUCUCCCAGUUGUGUUUGGAGGCCAAAGCAUUAUCAUGUUAACCAGUCUGUAACCUUCUUAGGGAUUGGUCUCUUGGGCUCAUAGAUUUAUUUCCAUCCAUCUAGUUCCCAAGGCAUUUCACUUAGUAACUGUAGCUAUACCAAGCUAUACCAAGGCCCAGCCAUUUUGAUGAGCCAUUUGCUCAUCAAAACAUGGGUGCCUGUAGUCGAUACCCUCAGCCUUCCCAACUGCUUUUAUCUUCCCUCUCUUCCUGUAGGACAUGCAGUUCAAUAUUCAGCAUGCAUCCUGGCCUUUGGGUUAAUUGUUCGUCCUGAUACUCUGCCAAAACAGGUCGAACUUUGUGCUUUGAUGGCCUUUUCACCCAUGUGACAUGAACCAUCUGUUGGGGCAAAGCUUAAAACAGCAAUUGUCAUUUGGCAAGUAGUUGGCAGUAUCACGUCUCUACUCUGUUAUGGAAAAUUAUUUUUCUGUUUUCAUCUUCUCAGUUUUUGUGGAUGUUUGUACUUUAAAAGGACAAUUUCUGAAACUUCUGGAGAAGUAAGAUAAGACUGUUUAAAUUUGGUUGCUAUAUGUUUGUUGAAUGAGUUUGCCUGGGCUAUCGUGCUGAGUCUAACAUGUUGUCUUUUUAGGGACCUGGCUGCAUCUAGCCGUGUGAUCCAGAGCCUGGUGGAGGGCUGGGAAUGCUAGCAGCUCCUCUAACUCUUACUACUAUAAACCAGAGGAAUAGUUGAGACCUCUGCUUCUGGCUCUGAACACCAGCCUGGAUCAAACCAAACCUCCCACCUCAAACAAGCAGAACAGCUGGAUAAUUAAAAAAAUCUGACAGUAAGAACCUGAGAGGGCAAGAUCCUGGAGAGAAUGGAAACAUAGAAAGCACGUGGCUUCCACAGCAGACUGCCUUGCUGGGGACGUGGAUGGAGUCGGGUGCAGCCAGGUGGGCCAACCGGGGUUCAGGCAUCUGACUGUGCCCCCUGAAUCCGGAGCAGCACAGCCGCCUCUCCGCUGGGCCCUGGCCACUCAUCCACUGUCUCUGCGGUACCCACGGGCUCUUCACACGGAGGUGACUAAGAAAACAUUUCUCAGGGAGAACAGACUUGAAUGGUAACAUCCCUGCCUAUUAACAGAA